ensembl:lncRNA
CUUGGAUGGAGAUGUUUUUUUGUACUCCUUUCCAGACAAGAAAAGCUUUGUAUAUCUGUAGCAUCCAUCUUUAGCAUUACAAAUCGAACAACACUCAAUUCUGCCCCUGUGUCGUUCCUUUUGUACCCAGUGCCACUGCAGCAGCCUAACAUCUCCCUGACAUCUCCCGACGGAGCAGGGCUGCUCUGGAGUGCGGAGGCUGCGGUGGUCACAAGGGGUCACGGCUUUGUCAUCACCUGCUCAAUUUCCAAACACUACCCCGGAGGUGUUUUCUCUCUCAUCUUCUUCGGCUCCAACAUCACUGACACCGAGCCUGCCGUCGACCACUCGGCCACCUUUGAGUUCCCCGUAGCUGGGUACCAACACCAGGGCAACUACAGCUGCGUGUACAAAGUCACGUUGUCCUCGAGGACAUUCACUUCUAUAGAGACAACAUCCAUUAGUGUCAUCAUUAAAUUGUGUGUUUUCUCUCUUAGCGCCUCUGCUGCGGCCGCUGCUCUCCUCGUUGGCUCCUGGGGGCCUGGUGCUGCUCCUGUGGGUCCUGGCGCUGAUCUGUCUGGUCCACAAGAGACGACGACAAGCGAUGUCGCCUGCAGUCGCCCACUUCGCUCAAUGUCCGUGCUCUCCAGGACAACACUGUACAUUACAUGAAACUGCAGCUUGUUUGUUUCAAGACACACUUUAACAUAAGUGUUUGGGUUCAACUGUGUGAUUUUUCUUGAAUUGAUUCUCGUGUUCGUGACAGAUUUUCUCUUUCCCUGCAUGUGUCCAGGUGCUGUCAGGAAUCACCGUGUGGCCUGUGAGGAGGAGGAGGAGGAGCACUAUGUGAACUUCACGCCAGUGCAGUACAAGGAGAGGCAGAGGAAGCCAACGAGGGCGCUGAUGGAUGAAGAUCGUGAUAAAGAAAAGGAGAGAAAAGAAGAGGAGAGUGCUGAGUAUGAGGGAGAGCAGAACCACGGAGACCUUCCAGAGAUCCAUGGAGGACAAGAAGACAUUUAUGAAACAUUUUAGUUUCUCCAGUAGAACAAUAGCACAGGGAUUAAUUGACUCACUGAAAGCAUUUCAACACCUGUUUGUUGCCAGAUUAACAGCAAUAUUUGGGAACUUUGCCAUAUAUUUACUUUUCUCAUUAAAAAAUAUAUCACAGAUAGUGUCACUGUUAACAUUUAACACUUAGAUUCAACACUGAGCUUUAAAUUUGACAUAUGCUGUAGGUUGGAAUUUAAUAUUUAGAUUUGACAUUGACAUUUUCUUUAAUAUAUAUUCUAUUUAUGGAUAAAUAUGACAAAGUUCAUAAAUGUCGCUGCAAAUCUGGUGAAAGAGUGACUUCAAAAUUUCCCACCACUAUUUGAGGUAAAAUUAUGGCAAAAUGUUACGGUAAUUUUUAGCGCGCGAUGCUUUACAAUCAAUCAUAUUUUAGUGACAUCCCACAAUGCACAUAUGAAAUAACUUCCUGUCUGUAAAAAUCUAUGAGGAAAUAAGAAAACAUUAUGUUAAUUCAUUUUUCUUUUCAUAUAGUAUCAACUUACUAUCAUAGUAAAGAAGUCGAGUAUUCUUUGUGCAUGCCACUUAGAGAUACCAUGACAUAAUAAAAAAUAAAAGAAACGGUGACCAGUGUUAAAACUAUAUAUAUAAACACACUGCAUCAGCUUAUUUGUUUAUAACUGUGGUAUACUUAAAUCUACAGUGUUCAAUAUUUAGAAGAACGUAUUUACAGAUAUUAAAUAUAUUGUCCAUGAUUGUGUGUUCAUAUAUGUAUAAUCACCCCGGCAACAAAAAAACCAAUAUUUUUUCGUCAAUUUUGAAUGAGUUAAAUAUAGUAACAUGAGGUGGACCCGACCUCCGUGUAAAUCACCAUGUUUGCUAAGUCGUGUUGCCGACUUCAGGGGUCCCGGUUCCGAGGUAUAAUGAAACGCAGCAUUAAAUACAGUUGCAGGAAACAGUCCCGAAUACGUCGCAUUCGUGUUGAAUUUCCAGCGCUGCUGGAAACCGGAAAUGGAAUUAGCGGUGCGCCACCAUAAAGUGUCCCCUGUCGGAUGCUCACUUAGUUGCUGUUUGCAACUUUACCACCAGAUGCCGCCAGAAAAGUGCAAACACGGUGUGUGUACCUGAAUAAGUUGUGUGAAUGAUAGUUCCUCUGCUUAUAGGAAGCUGCAACUCCUCAGUUGGUUGUUAAAAUGGGAAAUCCCUUUGAGGCGUUGACGUAAAGUGUGUCUCAUACGUAUGCACUAUUAUGUAUAAUGUGUUGUAUGAUGAACAAUAAAAUAUGUUUGCGGUCUGACAGUAAAGUUGUUCCUCAUACUACAAGCGCUGCUGGAGUUUUGAUCACCACAUACCAGAGACGUCCAGUUGCCUUCGUGAAGGCCGAGCACAUGUAUCAUUCAUCAUGACCUGGAUGACAUU